rnacentral:lncRNA from 1 species
GUGGCUGUGGUAGGAUUUUAAACUCUCAUCAUACAGGAACUCGUCAUGCAACAUUGUUUAGAUUUUCAAAGAUAAAAUUCUCCAAGAUUCUAGCAUCUCUAGGAACAGAUAAAUAGCAGCUCAACCUUCCCAUAUCAUAUCCGUUAACGACUUAGACUUUAGAUCAAGUACUCUUCCCACAAGUUCAGGUUUAGAGCAAAUCUUAAUUCAUAACAGUCAUGCCUAAACUUGAGAGAGAUUUCAAUUUUAAGAACUAGUCAUGGCAGAGCAACUAUUCAUCAUUUCCAUGUGAGAGCUUAUCAUGAGGG